rnacentral:tRNA from 1 species
CGGAUAUGGCGAAAUUGGUAGACGCGUCAGACUUAGGAUCUGGUGCCGCAAGGCGUGUGGGUUCGAGUCCCUUUAUCCGC